GCGACUCGGGGACCUGGAGCUGACGCCUAGUACGUAUGAGGAAGAACGGGGACACUUGUAUUAGCUUUAAUAGAAGAGAAAUGGAGGAGCCAUAGAAUAUUAAGGAUGAAUUCAGGAAGGCCUGAGACCAUGGAAAACUUGCCUGCUCUCUACACUAUUUUCCAAGGAGAGGUUGCUAUGGUGACAGACUAUGGGGCCUUUAUCAAAAUCCCAGGCUGUCGGAAGCAAGGUCUGGUCCAUCGAACUCAUAUGUCAUCCUGUCGGGUGGAUAAGCCCUCUGAGAUAGUAGAUGUUGGAGAUAAAGUGUGGGUGAAGCUUAUUGGCCGAGAGAUGAA
rnacentral:lncRNA from 1 species